UACGUAGGGACCAAGCGUUGUCCGGAAUCAUUGGGCGUAAAGCGCGCGUAGGUGGCUUCGUAAGUCCGUUGUGAAAGUCAAAGGCUCAACCUUUGAAAGCCGAUGGAUACUGCUGAGCUAGAGUACGGAAGAGGCGAGUGGAAUUCCUGGUGUAGCGGUGGAAUGCGCAGAUAUCAGGAGGAACACCGAUGGCGAAGGCAGCUCGCUGGGACGGUACUGACGCUGGAGGCGCGAAAGCGUGGGGAGCGAACAGG
rnacentral:rRNA from 1 species